AUGUUUGAUCUUCAUGCUGCAGUUCUAUGGUGCAUUCACGAUUACCCAGCUCUGAGCACUCUUUCAGGGCGUACCACAAGAGGCUAUGUUGCAUGUAUUCAUUGUGACAAACACCCUCUUUCCUACGGCCUAAGGCACAAAACUGGGUAUAUUGGGCAUUAUCGUUUCCUUCCAAAGGGACAUCGUUUGCGAAGAAAUAAUGAAUUUGUUGGUCUUCAUGAACGCAAUAAUGAGCUGGGUAAAUUCUCAAAGGAAGAGCUACAAGCAGAAUUGGAGAAGGUUAGACCUAGGCGACAAGAAGAAAGCAGGAAAAGAAAGCGUUCUGACUUGGGCAGCAAGAAGGCUCAUGUGCCAAUUUGGAGUCGGAGGGUUUGUUUGUGGGAUUUGGAUUAUUGGGAUAAAUUGAAGCUGAGACAUAAUCUUGAUGUCAUGCAUAUCGAGAAAAACAUUUGUGAAAACCUCAUUGGGACAAUUCUCAACAUGGAGGGGAAGACGAAGGACACACUUAAUGCUAGGCUUGAUCUCCAAGAUUUGAAUAUUAAAGAGGAGUUGCAUUUGAGGAAGGAUGGAAACUCAUAUGAGAUGCCUCAGGCCCGGUAUACCUUGUCUAAAGAACAAGUGGUUGCAUUUUGUCAAUUUUUACAAGAGUUAAAGUUUCCAGAUGGGUUUGCUUCCAACAUAUCCAGAUGUACAAGUGCUGAUGGAACCAAGGUCCAAGGCCUAAAAACACAUGAUUGUCACAUUCUUUUGCAAAGAAUCUUACCUGCUGGCAUGAGAGGAUUUCUGGAUAGUGAUAUAUAUGAAGCAAUAGCUGAGUUGGGCAACUUCUUCAGGGAACUGUGCAGCAAAACUCUUAACAGGGAUGUGUUGGCUGAAAUGAAGAAAGAAAUCCCUAUAAUUUUGCGCAAGCUUGAGAAAAAAUUUCCCUCCUGCUUUCUUUGA
rnacentral:rRNA from 1 species